CCUCAGGUUGUCCGAGUUGUAAUCUAUAGAAACGUUUUCCGCGCUGGCCCAUGUACAAGUCCCUUGGAAUAGGGCGUCAUAGAGGGUGAGAAUCCCGUCCUUGACACGGACCACCAGUGCUUUGUGAUACGUUUUCAACGAGUCGAGUUGUUUGGGAAUGCAGCUCAAAAUGGGUGGUAAAUUCCAUCUAAAGCUAAAUAUUGGCGAGAGACCGAUAGCGAACAAGUACCGUGAGGGAAAGAUGAAAAGCACUUUGGAAAGAGAGUUAAACAGUAUGUGAAAUUGUUGAAAGGGAAACGAUUGAAGUCAGUCGUGUCUAUUGGACUCAGCCGGUUCUGCCGGUGUACUUCCUUUAGAUGGGGUCAACAUCAGUUUUGAUCGCUGGAAAAGGGCGGGAGGAAUGUAGCACUCUCGGGUGAACUUAUAGCCUUCCGUCGUAUACAGUGGUUGGGACUGAGGAACGCAGCAUGCCUUUAUGGCCGGGGUUCGCCCACGUACAUGCUUAGGAUGUUGACAUAAUGGCUUUAAACG
rnacentral:rRNA from 1 species